ACCACUUUAAUAUGAUAGCCUGAGUAAGCAUUAAGUAUAUUUGAAUAUGGAAUUUAUAUAGAAAUUAUUAUCCAGUUUAAAAUUUUAAAGAUACAAGAAAUUAUAAUUUAGAUAGCUUAAUAAUAUAGGUUAAUUAGGUGCCAGCAACCGCGGUCAUACCUAAUAAAUUAGCUUACUAUCCACUAGUAAAUAAUAAAAUUAUUUAGAAAUAUUAUAAUACAUAGUGAAAUAUUAUUAAAUAUUGCACUCUAAUAAAAUUUUUAUAAAACCAAACCCAAAUACAAAACUAGGAUUAGAGACCCUACUAUUAUGGGCAAACUAAUUAUCUACUAAGUAGUAAUACCUCAUUUUAAAACUUAAAUGUUAUGGCGGCUAAGCAAAAUAAUUAGGGGAACUUACCAUAUAAUUGAUAGCCACCAAGCAUAAAUCUACUUACUUUAAUAAUUUGUAUACCGUUGUCUUCAUGAGCCCCCCAAAGCGGCUUAUUCACAUGUACAUCUAAAGACAAAUCAAGGUGCAGUCUAUAGGUAAGAAUUGAGGUGAGUUACAAUAACUACUUAUUUCGGAAAUGAUUCAUGAAAUAAAUCAAUAAGACGGACUUAAAAGUACUAUAAAAAUAAAAAACAUAAUAUAAGAAUAGUUUUUGAUUAGUGUA
rnacentral:rRNA from 1 species